CGGACGGGUGAGUAACACGUGGGUAACCUGCCCUUCAGUGGGGGAUAACAUUUGGAAACAGAUGCUAAUACCGCAUAGAUCCAAGAACCGCAUGGUUCUUGGCUGAAAGAUGGCGUAAGCUAUCGCUUUUGGAUGGACCCGCGGCGUAUUAGCUAGUUGGUGAGGUAACGGCUCACCAAGGCGAUGAUACGUAGCCGAACUGAGAGGUUGAUCGGCCACAUUGGGACUGAGACACGGCCCAAACUCCUACGGGAGGCAGCAGUAGGGAAUCUUCCACAAUGGACGCAAGUCUGAUGGAGCAACGCCGCGUGAGUGAAGAAGGCUUUCGGGUCGUAAAACUCUGUUGUUGGAGAAGAAUGGUCGGCAGAGUAACUGUUGUCGGCGUGACGGUAUCCAACCAGAAAGCCACGGCUAACUACGUGCCAGCAGCCGCGGUAAUACGUAGGUGGCAAGCGUUAUCCGGAUUUAUUGGGCGUAAAGCGAGCGCAGGCGGUUUUUUAAGUCUGAUGUGAAAGCCCUCGGCUUAACCGAGGAAGCGCAUCGGAAACUGGGAAACUUGAGUGCAGAAGAGGACAGUGGAACUCCAUGUGUAGCGGUGAAAUGCGUAGAUAUAUGGAAGAACACCAGUGGCGAAGGCGGCUGUCUGGUCUGUAACUGACGCUGAGGCUCGAAAGCAUGGGUAGCGAACAGGAUUAAGAUACCCUGGUAGUCCAUGCCGUAAACGAUGAAUGCUAGGUGUUGGAGGGUUUC
rnacentral:rRNA from 1 species